CAUUAUUGAUUGCGAAUGGUUGUCUGCAGUGCUGGCCGGGUCACUCUGGCAAGUGCACGUAGACAGCUUUCAUCCAAUACCCUUGUGCACCUUUGGCCUCUUGCCAGCUUCGGCCGGCAGAGGAUUUUUACACCCACUCGAAUGUAAUGAAAUUACUGUUGUGCACACGCACUACUAUAUACAACUUUCAACAACGGAUCUCUUGGCUCUCGCAUCGAUGAAGAACGCAGCGAAAUGCGAUAAGUAAUGUGAAUCGCAGAAUUCAGUGAAUCAUCGAAUCUUUGAACGCACCUUGCACCCUUUGGUAUUCCGAAGGGUAUGCUCGUUUGAGUGUCAUUGUACUCUCACACUUCCGAUCGUUUGGAUCGGGAGCGGUGGACUUGGGUGUUGCUGCUUACCGUGGCUCACCUUAAAUGCAGUAGUGCACCUUUCGGUUGGACAUAGUACGGCGUGAUAAGUGUCUUCGCCGGCACCUCUCUGAGGGUGGCCGAUCGGGAGCUCUGUGCUUCCAAUCGUCUUCGGACAAUGACUGACAACUUG
rnacentral:rRNA from 1 species